rnacentral:pre_miRNA from 1 species
AGCCUUCUGUAUCCGUGAGAAGAUUUCGUUAAAGAUCAGUCCGUUGGGGCUGAUGGUGCUUCCCAAAUAAGUGAAGCG